CAGCAGCCGCGGUAAUACGUAGGGUGCAAGCGUUAAUCGGAAUUACUGGGCGUAAAGCGUGCGCAGGCGGUCCGCUAAGACAGAUGUGAAAUCCCCGGGCUUAACCUGGGAACUGCAUUUGUGACUGGCGGGCUAGAGUAUGGCAGAGGGGGGUAGAAUUCCACGUGUAGCAGUGAAAUGCGUAGAGAUGUGGAGGAAUACCGAUGGCGAAGGCAGCCCCCUGGGCCAAUACUGACGCUCAUGCACGAAAGCGUGGGGAGCAAACAGGAUUAGAUACCCGUGUAGUCCCUGUCUCUUAUAC
rnacentral:rRNA from 1 species